ACACUUUUUUAGACUACAUUACAAGAGGUACCAAAAUUCAUUGCACAUUUGCUGUGGACUUUACUGCUUCUAAUGGAGAUCCUAAGUCUCCCACAUCUCUUCAUUACAUGAAUCCAUUCAGACCUAAUCCAUACGCCACAGCCAUACAAGCAGUUGGGAACAUUAUUCAGGACUAUGACAGUGCUAAGAUGUUUCCAGCAUUAGGCUUUGGUGCAAGAUUACCACCAGAUGGCAUUAUCUCACAUGAAUUUGCAUUGGUGAGUCCAA
rnacentral:sRNA from 1 species